GGAGUUAGCCGGUGCUUCUUCUGUGAGUGAUGUCCUUCCUGCCGGUUAUUGACCCGCAGGCCUUCUUCCUCACUGAAAGUGCUUUACAACCCGAAGGCCUUCUUCACACACGCGGCAUGGCUGUAUCAGGGUUGCCCCCAUUGUCCAAUAUUCCCCACUGCUGCCUCCCGUAGGAGUCUGGGCCGUGUCUCAGUCCCAGUGUGGCUGAUCAUCCUCUCAGACCAGCUACGGAUCGUCGCCUUGGUGAGCCGUUACCUCACCAACCAGCUAAUCCGACAUAGGCUCAUCCGAUAGCGCGAGGCCCGAAGGUCCCCCGCUUUCCCCCGUAGGGCGUAUGCGGUAUUAGCCUGGGUUUCCCCAGGUUAUCCCCCACUACCGGGCAGAUUCCUAUGCAUUACUCACCCGUCCGCCGCUCGCCACCAGGGAGCAAGCUCCCCGUGCUGCCGCUCGACUUGCAUGUGUUAGGCCUGCCGCCAGCGUUCAAUCUGAGCCAGGAUCAAACUCUGA
rnacentral:rRNA from 1 species